GUAGGUGGCAAGCGUUGUCCGGAAUUAUUGGGCGUAAAGCGCGCGCAGGCGGUUCUUUAAGUCUGAUGUGAAAGCCCACGGCUCAACCGUGGAGGGUCAUUGGAAACUGGAGAACUUGAGUACAGAAGAGGAAAGCGGAAUUCCACGUGUAGCGGUGAAAUGCGUAGAGAUGUGGAGGAACACCAGUGGCGAAGGCGGCUUUCUGGUCUGUAACUGACGCUGAGGCGCGAAAGCGUGGGGGAGCAAACAGGAUUAGAUACCCUGGUAGUCCGCGCCGUAAACGAUGAGUGCUAAGUGUUAGGGGGUUUCCGCCCCUUAGUGCUGCAGCUAACGCAUUAAGCACUCCGCCUGGGAGUACGGCCGCAAGGCUG
rnacentral:rRNA from 1 species